rnacentral:tRNA from 1 species
GCAUUAGUAGCUCAGCCUCCAGAGCGUCGGUCUUGUAAACCGAAAGUCGAGGGUUAAAUUCCCCCCUUUUGCU